UACAGAGGUCUCAAGCGUUGUUCGGAUUCACUGGGCGUAAAGGGUGCGCAGGCGGCCGUGUGUGUCAGGUGUGAAAGCCCGGAGCUUAACUCCGGAAUUGCGCCUGAAACUACAUGGCUAGAGCAUUGGAGAGGGUAGCGGAAUUCACGGUGUAGCAGUGAAAUUCGUAGAUAUCGUGAGGAACACCAGAGGCGAAGGCGGCUACCUGGACAAUUGCUGACGCUCAGGCACGAAAGCGUGGGGAGCAAACAGG
rnacentral:rRNA from 1 species